AUUGAACGCUGGCGGCAUGCCUUACACAUGCAAGUCGAACGGCAGCACGGGAGCUUGCUCCUGGUGGCGAGUGGCGAACGGGUGAGUAAUACAUCGGAACGUACCCUGAAGUGGGGGAUAACGUAGCGAAAGUUACGCUAAUACCGCAUAUUCUGUGAGCAGGAAAGAGGGGGAUCACAAGACCUCUUGCUUUAGGAGCGGCCGAUGUCGGAUUAGCUAGUUGGUGAGGUAAAGGCUCACCAAGGCGACGAUCCGUAGCGGGUCUGAGAGGAUGAUCCGCCACACUGGGACUGAGACACGGCCCAGACUCCUACGGGAGGCAGCAGUGGGGAAUUUUGGACAAUGGGCGCAAGCCUGAUCCAGCCAUGCCGCGUGAGUGAAGAAGGCCUCGGGUUGUAAAGCUCUUCGUGGGAGAAUAGCUUCGGCUAAGUACCUGGA
rnacentral:rRNA from 1 species